rnacentral:rRNA from 1 species
AUGUUCAUGUGUUGGUUGUUUACUAUGUUGUGUGUUUCUUUCCGGUGUUGCUUCUUCGGGUUGGUUCCAAUAACGUCGUGUUGUGAGGAUUCGUUCGACUUCGUCCGUUUGUCUUCUUCAUGGACUCGUUCUUCUUCCUUGCGGGAUCUCAGGGAAAUCUUGAGGUUGCACAGCGUGCCAAAGACAAUUGUGUCGGACCGGGACGUCAAGUUCUUAAGCUACUUUUGGAAGACGCUUUGCGCCAAGCUCAGAAUCAGGCUCCUCUUCUCCACCGUGUAUCAUCCUCAAACCGAUGGCCAAACAGAAGUCACCAACUGGAUGCUUGCCACUCUCCUACGCGUGUUAAUCAAGAGGAAUAUCAAGGAACGGGAGGAGUGCCUACCUAUCACCGAGUACGCCUACAACCGUGCAAGACACUCUACAACUGGCAAGUCCCCCUUCGAGAUCCAAGAGACGAGUACAUGA